rnacentral:lncRNA from 1 species
UGGAAGCAAGACAACUGGGCACCUUCUUCCCUCUGCAGAGCCCGUGAACACCGUGGUGAAUCUUUCGGGAGCUCCUUUGCUCAGGCACACAGAAGCCGCUUCUGAAUUCCCUCGCAGCCUCCGUGUAUCAGAGACCCAGUGCCAGCCUGGGCCGCCGGGGCUUGAGAUGAGCGCUCUUCCUCCCUCCCGACCCCAGCCUGAUGCCCCAAAGCCCUCCAGAGGAAAUCAAAGCUGGCGAGAGCCACGCGGAUGUUCAGAAGAAGUCUCUUAUCCCGGCAGCCUUUCACAGGCUGUGGGGCCUCGUGCCCUCUGCCCCCCGACGCCGUGAGAGGCCGGCAGCCAAUUCGCGGCAUUGUCUGAAACCCCUGCGUGGUGCCAUUGCCGCCGUCUUUCAUCCCUUUUGGCAAAGAACCCGCGCCAUCGGGUCCUCUGAAGUGCGGGAGACGGAUCGCUGAUCUGCCGGGGAAUGUGCUCUACAAGGUUAAGCAUGUUUGCCCAAGAAAUACGGAUAAUGCUCUUAGCACGUAUGACCUUUACGAUAUGUGGAACACUGUCCGUGACAAAAAUGCCAUUUUUUAAAUGGUUUUCACGCCGGGGUAUCCAGCCAUUAAUCAUGCUGCAUAUGAGUGACUGUAGGGGCUGCCUAGAAAAUCCUAGAGCCCCACGUUAGAUUCCUGGCGGGCCAAGGGCUGUGUGUGAACCUUGACUUCAUUAGGAUCUGCACCGCCGAUGGCUUCCUGGGCUGGGUGGCCCCCGGGGGCUCCUGCAAAAGAGCCUGGCUUCUCAGCACCUUCACAGGAGUGGCCACGGGCUCCUUAUUUUAAGGUGUCUUUGUGUCCUUGGAGCUGAUAAAUAACUCAUUUUGGAUGCCUCUGCUGAGCCUGCAUAUUUAGUGCCCACGAACUGCAUCUCAGAUGCUGGAGGCUAUGCCGCCCCUCUCCCUCCCUCUCCCGGCUGCAGAGCUGGGCAUUGCUCAGUAGGGGAAUGGCUGAUGCUGGGCGCCGGCCUGAUUGGAGGGAAGUGAUAGAAUUCAGGAUUUUUACUUCCAAAAAGGCAUUUUCCAGGGUCAGCCAGUUAAUACCUGCACAGCCCCAGUCAGAGAGCCCCCAGACGCCUGUGGGUCCCAAGCACGAGAAAAUGAGUCUGGUCUGUGUCGAGAGGCACUGGGUGUGCAGAACACACACAGGAUUUCAAAAGCUUGAUAUAAAAAGCACAAACUACCUCAUUCAUAAUUUUCACACUGAUUAGAUGUUGAAAUGAUAAUGUUUUGGAGAUACUGGGUUAGAUCAUAUGUAUUAUUAAACUUAACUUUACCUUUUCUUUUUGACUUAUUUCUUGUGGCCACUAGAAAGUUUAAAAUUGCCGACGUGGCUUGCAUCUUACCUCUGUCAGAAGCUCAGGCCACACACCCAUGCAGAGACCCACCCUGGGAGUGGAGAAGUGGAUGGAAGGACAGAAGAGAAGGCCCUUCCAUGCCCUGGGGGCAGGGUGCUCCCAAUCCCAUUGCGGGGAAGGAGUGCUCACACAAGCACCUGUGCAACUGGCACCUUUUGGGGUCUGUUUGUGUUUUCCAGGCCUGACACUGGGGCAAGGAAAAGCCAAGACACAUCGCACUUUAUUAAUCAACAUUUAGUGAUGCUUUUGGAGACAGGCAGAGGGAGCAAGGGGUGUCCUGAGUCCCCCUUUGGAAGGGAAUGGGGAUAGGGAGCAGGCAGCGGGCAGUGGGCACAGACAACCAGCAGUGCCCACCCAGAUGAUGCACUAAUCUUCCCUCCCCCACCUCCCCUCCCCCGCAGUUUGAUGCUUGGCUCUGUCCUGGUGGACUUCUUAAACCUGCACCAAGCGGCUGCUACUGCUGACCCCAGGGAUGUCCUGACACUUUCUGGGUGGCCUCCAAGCCACAUGCAAAUAUAACCCAAUUUCCACCACUGUCUGAGGAAGGAUGUGGGAAGUGCUGGUCCCCCCUGCAGCCCUCACCAAUCUCCCCAGUGACCACACGGGAGCAUCUCUCCAUCACAGCCACUCUGGACCCAUUGCAGACACAGGAAGAGUAACAGCAUCCCAGCCUGGCGGCGUCAGACGGUUUGGCAGAGUCCCUGUGCACCAGAUCCAGUGUUAGGUGCUGAGGAUUCACAGCAAACGCAUAACCCCUGGACCAGCAUGUGAAGUGAUCAUCCCAAACCCAUCAUGAGAGACCAAAGGGGGUCUUGGGAUUCCUAAGGGCAUUUAGCCCAACCUAAGGAUUUGAAAAUGUACCUGCCGGACAUGGAGAAACUGGCACCUUGGGUGUUUUAAAGGACAAAUUGUAGGUACACAGGAAAAGAGAAGUGGGAGGGGCAUAGAGGCAGGAUAUUGUAGAAGUAAGUGCUGAUGAAUGUGGGAGGGUCAACUGUGGGCAGUCUGUAGUGCAGGUGACGGUGGACUAUACAGGCUAAGGCAGGGAGCGGCAGGAGACAAGGCCGGGAGAGUCACUGGGGUCUGGGGAAGGUCAGAAGGAGCCUUGAAUGGCAUACUCAGGAUUCGAUCUCCCUCCAAUAGGCAAAGGGUGCCACCAAAGGGCUCUGAGCUGGGUGAGCGGCUUUGAUUUAGAGUUUCCAGAAAUGGCUCCGGCAUCAGGGCAUGAAGGAGGAUUAACACCAAAGGCACAAAGUUUGGGACCUGAACUAGGACAUUGGUAUUAGGAAGAGAAAAGAGACAAAUAUCUAAGAAAUAUUUAAAAGAUGUAACUGGCCAGACCAGGCAUCAGAGUCAACAUGGUGGGCAAGGAAGAGCUGCCAUUGUGUGUCUCCCGGAUAUGGGCUCUGAUCUCCAGGUCAGAGAAAACUGCAGGCUGGCCUCAGUAGAUCCCAGAGGCAGAAGCGACAUCCACCAAGCCUGCCUCACUGGGCUGGAGCAGCCUGGCAUCUGUGCACCAGCCUCCUGCUGACCUCUCACCGGCUGUCAGGACAGCCCAGGGCAGAGAGGUGACAUCCAGGCUACCCGAGGCAGCAGGUCAAACCCAGCUAAGUAACUAAAUAAAGAUAUGAUUGUAAUGAUGAUUAAAUAUGAAGCACCUCAUUAAUUUCAUGUGAGAGG